CGUCAUGAGAACCUGUUUUCUGACCGUACUGAUUUAAUUUGGUCAAUCAUUUUGUUCUUGACCAAUAAAUAAAUCAUUUUUUUUGCUCAAACAAUAACUAUUUCAAUUAUUUAAAAUUCAUUUCAUUAGGUAAUUUGGUGUGCUGCACAUGCAUUAAGAUAUUAUUGGUGGUACAUGUUACUGAUAUAUAUUAAGAAUCAGUUGUUUAUAAUAUAAGUGCAGCUAAUAGACUCAAGAUCUGCAUGGAAUACAUCAUACAUCAUAGAUACAUACUAUUUCAACUAUCUUGUGGACGCAUUCUUCAAGGGCAUAUUUGUGAGGCACUCCGUAAGGAUCAGGUAAGCAGACCGUGCAAGCUAACCGCCUUCAUCGGCUGGGAUGAGAUUGAGAAAGAAGUCGAAAAACAAAUCAAUUUAUUAUAGGAGGUUACUCCCUUGCAGGAGAAAAAGUAAUUCUUUUCAUCUUCAGAGGUUUCCAUCAAGUAUUUGGCAUUUCAACCGGAAGAUCGUUUUAGAUGAAUGUUAAUGGACUUGCACUCAAGCAGAAGAUCGUUUUAGAUGGAUGUAAAUGGAACUUGCAUUAGCAUUAAGAUAUAUUUGGGUUCUUUUCCUCGUGACUGUGUAAUUGUAGACGAAGUGAGGAUGUAGUAACUUUUAACUUUUGUGUGAAAAUAUAAGUAACUUUUAACUUUUGUGUUGUACAUAUUGCUAUAGUUAAGUUCGAGGGCUGUUUACGCCCCUUAUUAAGAGGGUUAGUUUUCCUACUUGAAUAUGGAAGAUUUUGGGCCCGUGCCCAUCUAGUUUUCUUUUACAUUAUUUAUUUACAUUAUAUA